UGCAACCAGCCCUAAAUCAAAAAAGCUGACUUCUCCCAGGAGUUUAAAGCCCUGUCUCACACAUUAAAUUGUAAUUUGCAGGCAAGUCUGGGCUCAGAAAUCCUCCAAUAAAGCAGAUGAAUAAUCAACAUGAAUUGGAUAGAAAGAGUCUCUCUCUGCCUUUCACUUGCCCUUAUCACUUUGCACACAAACAGCACCCUGGAUGAUGUCUACAAGAUGAUAAGACCACAAAAGGAUUCAACUGGAUCAGAAAAUUUCAUUAUUCAGAAACAAGAUGGUCCAAAUUGGGUAGUUUGAGUAAGAAGGCAAACAGCUGACUGCAUAAAGGACCUGUGAGGUCACCAGUUCUGGAUUUUACCAGGCAACAGUAAUGGAGUGACCUAGAGGAUCUUCUCUCUAAUGUUAGCUCUCUGUGGAGACAGUCACUCAACCAAAUCCCCAACCGGAUUAAAGGUUGGUGUAGACCAUGGAUUUCUCUUGCAGGAUACAAUUUCUCUUUUAUAGCUCUAGUUUCUCUUGUUUGCAGUCAGACAAAGGCUAUUUUGAUUCCACCAUCUUAGAUCUCCUCCCAGAGCAGCAAUCUCUUAAAAGAGUCCUGAAGAAACUGGGAUUUAUGAUCUUGCAAGUCACAGAGAACAGCUGAGACAUUGAAAAGCACUUGACGCUGACAUCGGACACUGAAAAGCAAAACCCCUCGAUUUGGGAGUCUCUAAUUCCAUUCUUCUCUUCAAGCCAAGCAGCUACACUGAGCUUGAUCCAUGAGAAAUCUCACCACUGUGGCUGAGCACAUGCUUCAGAGAGCACCUGAGCUGACAUCACUCCCCUGCCCUUUCUCAGAUUCUAUUUUCUUACUCGUCUAGGGACUGUGGGCCUGAUUGUUCUAAUCCAAAUGGAUGUCCAACACUAAACACAUUCUCUUCCCUUCUCUCUCUUUAACCCAACCCUCAAUUUCUCUGGGUUCCAUGGCCACUAACUAACCUCACAGAACUAAAGAGAAAUGGCGCAGUCAUAAGUGAGCAGUCACCUUCUCCCUCCUCCCAGUCCUCUGGGAGUCUCUGAAGUCUCUGUCCCCACUGACACUUUCAC
rnacentral:lncRNA from 1 species